UACGAAGGGGGGCUAGCGUUGCUCGGAAUCACUGGGCGUAAAGGGUGCGUAGGCGGGUUCUUAAGUCAGAGGUGAAAUCCUGGAGCUCAACUCCAGAACUGCCUUUGAUACUGAGAGUCUUGAGUUCGGGAGAGGUGAGUGGAACUGCGAGUGUAGAGGUGAAAUUCGUAGAUAUUCGCAAGAACACCAGUGGCGAAGGCGGCUCACUGGCCCGAUACUGACGCUGAAGCACGAAAGCGUGGGGAGCAACAGG
rnacentral:rRNA from 1 species